rnacentral:rRNA from 1 species
AACGAACGCUGGCGGCGUGCCUAACACAUGCAAGUCGAGCGAAUGGAUUAAGAGCUUGCUCUUAUGAAGUUAGCAGCGGACGGGUGAGUAACACGUGGGUAACCUGCCCAUAAGACUGGGAUAACUCCGGGAAACCGGGGCUAAUACCGGAUAACAUUUUGAACCGCAUGGUUCGAAAUUGAAAGGCGGCUUCGGCUGUCACUUAUGGAUGGACCCGCGUCGCAUUAGCUAGUUGGUGAGGUAACGGCUCACCAAGGCAACGAUGCGUAGCCGACCUGAGAGGGUGAUCGGCCACACUGGGACUGAGACACGGCCCAGACUCCUACGGGAGGCAGCAGUAGGGAAUCUUCCGCAAUGGACGAAAGUCUGACGGAGCAACGCCGCGUGAGUGAUGAAGGCUUUCGGGUCGUAAAACUCUGUUGUUAGGGAAGAACAAGUGCUAGUUGAAUAAGCUGGCACCUUGACGGUACCUAACCAGAAAGCCACGGCUAACUACGUGCCAGCCGCCGCCGUAA